CUUCGCUCUUUUUUUAAUCCAUCCUCCAGUACUUCUUUUUCACGAUUUUUGUUUUAAAAAAGAAAAUCUAGAAGCGAUUUUUGGGGCGUGAUAACUUAAAGCAGAGGAAGAAAUUCCUUAGAUCAAUAAAGAGAAGAAAAAGAAAGUGGAACAUAUUAGGAAGUUGAGUUAGAUCCGAUCCGAAUCGCAAGUAUUGAAUAGUUGAAGUGGAAGUGGAAAAUGGAAGGGAUAAAUGAGAAAGAGGAAGCACAAAAAGGUUCAUCUCCGGCUGAAUUGGGCAAAUGGGCGGAGAUUCAAGAUACGCUCAAGAAAAGAGUGAUUACGGUGGAUGAUUUCCCGUGGAGAUUAGCCUCACCGUCGGAGUCGGAGCCACAGCAGCAACAGCUCAAGUAUGUUGGAGGCGUAGACGUCAGCUUCUCCAAGGAAGAACCAUCUAUGGCAUGUGGGAGUUUGGUGGUGUUGGACCUACUUCAUGAUCUACGCCUCGUCUAUCAAGAGUACACUUGCCUCAGCCUUGACAUUCCUUAUGUCCCGGGCUUCCUUGCCUUCCGUGAGGCUCCCAUUCUUUUACAUCUCUUGGCGAAGAUGAAAAAAGAUGCUAGUCCUUUCUACCCACAGGUACUUAUGGUGGAUGGUAAUGGAUUACUUCACCCUCGAGGUUUUGGUUUGGCCUCUCAUCUAGGUGUUAUUGCUAAUAUUCCAACCAUUGGUGUUGGAAAGAACCUGCAUCAUGUUGAUGGUCUUACUCAAUCUGGGGUAAGAAAACUUCUCGAAGCUGAAGAAAACAAAGCCAAGGGCAUUAUUACUUUAAGAGGCAACUCAGGAUUCAUCUGGGGUGUGUUCAUAGAGUUGAGGAUUCAAAAAUGGACGUACAGAAGUUAUCUCGGCUUUAUAGUCCCAAAUCUUCACUGUACUUUGUCUUUUUCAAUAGGCAAUGAGAUCAGAGCAAGGUUCACUGAAGCCUGUAUUUGUUUCAGUUGGUCAUAGAGUAUCACUUGAAACUGCCAUUGAGAUUGUAAACAUGACCUGCAAAUUUCGUGUGCCAGAACCUAUCAGGCAGGCUGAUAUAAGAUCCAGAGAGCAUCUUCGAAAGCUCAAAAUGAAAUGAUCGAGUGAUGCAAUUGCUAAAUGGUAGGUUAUUUUGUAAACUUUUUUCUCCUUGCUCGGUUAUGUGAACCUGCAAGUUAAGUUAAAGAUUGUGCAGCUUUUUCUUAGAUAGAUGUUAAGAUUUGUUCUUAAAAGCAAUUAGCUAAUGUGGAAAGCAUCUAGGAUCAGUACUGGUGGCAGUACGUUGAGCAUGAGUGAUGAUUACUCUGCAGUACUAGCGGCAUUUGUUAGAUUUUCAGAGCAGUUUCAGGUAUCAAGAAUGAAGACACUGUCACACUAUUGACUUCUUAUGUAAGUAGUUGCCGUCCCGUGACAGCUAAUAGCAUACUUGAGUUUUGGGGGGGCUGACAGCAACAGUUGGCAAUGAUGGCUUGUGUUUCCUUUCCUGAAUGUUCUCAUGUUGUUUGUAUAGCAAAAAGUCCAAAGGCAUUGAAUGAUCCAUCAAUCAAACGAAUUUAACUAGAGAAAGCUUAGCUUGUACUUAGACGUGCUAGCCCAGGAAUACAGAGAUGCCAUGUCGGUUUGCAUUUGCAAGAUUCUUAUUAAUAGACGUGCUAGCCCAGGAAUACAGAGAUGCCAUGUCGGUUUGCAUUUGCAAGAUUCUUAUUAAUUUGAUGCGGGUCCUUUUGCAGUUAAAUUGUAGAAUUCUCUGAAAGAGUUGUUGGCUUUUCCAGUCCUUGAUCCACUGUUACCAGGUUUUGGAUCAUGAUUCCAACUACACAAGACUAUGUAUAACCCUCUUGAUUCUUGAAUGGUCUUUAAUUUUGCUGCAACUA